rnacentral:rRNA from 1 species
AGUGAACGCUGGCGGUAGGCCUAACACAUGCAAGUCGAACGGCAGCACAGUAAGAGCUUGCUCUUACGGGUGGCGAGUGGCGGACGGGUGAGGAAUACAUCGGAAUCUACUUUUUCGUGGGGGAUAACGUAGGGAAACUUACGCUAAUACCGCAUACGACCUACGGGUGAAAGCAGGGGAUCUUCGGACCUUGCGCGAUUGAAUGAGCCGAUGUCGGAUUAGCUAGUUGGCGGGGUAAAGGCCCACCAAGGCGACGAUCCGUAGCUGGUCUGAGAGGAUGAUCAGCAACACGGGAACUGAGACCCGGCCCGGACUCUGAGGGAAGGCGCAGGGGGGAAAUAUUGGAAAAGGGGCGCAAGCCUGACCCAGCCUUACCGGGGGGGUGAAGAAGGCCUUCGGGUUGUAAAGCCCUUUUGUUGGGAAAAAAAACCAGCGGGUUAAAACCCCCCUGUUCGAAGGGAACCCAAAAAAAAGGCACGGGCAAACUUCUG